rnacentral:rRNA from 1 species
AUGUCGUACGACAGCUCCCUCAGUUCAUCUGCCCAGAUCUUGACCUGCCGAUUAAGGCUGUCCCUUGGCACCUCCGCCACCUCUGUAAGGGCAGUGUGCAUGCUCUCCAUCUCUUUCUUAAGGGACUCAACGUCUUCCUUGACGCCCUUCUGUAGCUUGUACUCACCCGCGACCAGCUCGACCAGCUUGGGAAGUAGUCUUCCCAUGACACCGGUUACCACCUCCAUCACCAUGGUUGGCUCUCAAAUCUCAAUGUAUGGAUCCUCUAGGAAGAAAACCUGGUUGGAAGUUACAAGACAGGAAUCCGAUGUAGGAAAACCAAAAGAAACUGUUCUCUCCACCGGCCACCACCUUUAA